GGACGAUUAGCUCAGUUGGGAGAGCACCGCCCUUACAAGGCGGGGGUCACUGGUUCAAGCCCAGUAUUGUCCACCA
rnacentral:tRNA from 1 species